AAUGAACGUUGGCGGCGUGGAUUAGGCAUGCAAGUCGAGCGAGAACCGUAGCAAUACGGGGACAGCGGCGAAAGGGAGAGGAAUACGCGGGCACCUACCCUCGGAUCUGGGAUAGCCACGGGAAACUGUGGGUAAUACCAGAUAACGUCUUCGGACCAAAGGUGUGAUUCCGUCCGAGGAGGGGCCCACGUCCUAUUAGCUAGUUGGUGGGGUAAUGGCCUACCAAGGCAAUGAUGGGUACGGGGCGUGAGAGCGUGCCCCCGCUCACUGGGACUGAGACACUGCCCAGACACCUACGGGUGGCUGCAGUCGAGGAUCUUCGGCAAUGGGCGCAAGCCUGACCGAGCGACGCCGCGUGCGGGAUGAAGGCCUUCGGGUUGUAAACCGCCGUCGGAAGGGAGGAAAUGCCUAGGGGUUCUCCCCUAGGUUUGACCUAUCUUCAGAGGAAGUACGGGCUAAGUUCGUGCCAGCAGCCGCCGUAA
rnacentral:rRNA from 1 species